UACGUAGGGGGCAAGCGUUGUCCGGAUUUAUUGGGCGUAAAGAGCGUGUAGGCGGCCAUACAGGUCAGCUGUGAAAACUUGAGGCUCAACCUCGAGACGUCGGUUGAAACCGUAUGGCUAGAGUCCGGAAGAGGAGAGUGGAAUUCCCGGUGUAGCGGUGAAAUGCGCAGAUAUCGGGAAGAACACCCGUGGCGAAGGCGGCUCUCUGGGACGGUACUGACGCUGAGACGCGAAAGCGUGGGGAGCGAACAGG
rnacentral:rRNA from 1 species